CAUUGCUAUGCUUGGCACCCAACCUACAGAAACAGUUCUUACCCAGUUCCAGGACUUUGCUAUCUUGAAGAAACCCGAAACAGUGAGACAGUCAAAAGUGACAACCUCUCUGGAGGCUCUGCGGUUUUAUGGCUUGGUUUUGAAUGUGCGUUAUAUCAUAAAACACAGCUCACUAGUCUCUUCAAUGUCUCCCUUUCUGUCGUUGAAUAAAAGGCAUCCAAACAGUCAGAAAGGGAUGAUCAUCGUCUUGCUUUGAACCUUUAGAGUUUCAAAUUUUAAGUCAACACUUCCCAUUCCCCAUCUCUGCGGGUGCGCUGCUACCAGAAUCUCAAGGGAAUGGAUAAGCUUGCUCUUCUCCUAUGUGAGGACCACUGCCCUCCCUGCCAACCAGAGAACAGAGAGCUCAGGAGGGUAAAAGUGACUUCACAAGUUAGUUGUUAAUUGGCUAAUGUUACAGCCCAUGGCUUGUAUUACAGAAACGUUGGUUUCAGUAUGUGAGUAUGGUUCAUAGAUGCUAAUAGAAGUCAUUUUUACCACAUUAUAAUAUUUAGUACUAGUUGGAAAUUCUAUUUUUAAAAGUCUUAUGGAAUCAUUGGGAAAGUCAGUGCCAGGCGUAUAUGUUUCAAAGCCUUAAUGGAUACAGCUGAGGGGUCUCACAUUAGUGAGGUUGAUUAAAAAAAAAAAUCAAUGUAGGAAAUACUUCAGAACUCCCUCAAAUUAUCAAAAGAACUUCAUGGUAUUCUUUAAACAGAUAAAUGCGACUGCCUUCUGAGAAUGGGAAAGCCUGUACUGUACACUUAAUGUUAGGAUUUUGUAGCUUGGGACUUAAAUUAUUUUCCAUGUCAGGGUUGUAAAGCAUAGGAAGUCAUUCUUGCUAUAAGCAUACUAUAGAUAAAUUCCUCAUUUUUCUAAGCUUUACUUUCUGUGUAAAAUUGGGAUAUAAGUCCCUAACCAGAUGGACUCACCUUGUGCAGGACCCUAUGUAGUGUAGCGUAUCACCCGAUUGCUUGAUAAAUGUGGCCAUUAUUAGAUGACCACAUGUAAUACAUGGCUGAGGAGCAAAUUCCCAUGUGUCGUCUUGGGCUUUAGCUUCAUCUCUUCUCUCUAACCCCGUCCCUAUAGCCUCAUUUUUCAAAUGCCCUGAUCUGUUCUUUCCAGUAGAACUUCUAUUCAUCUAUUUUUUUUCUACC
rnacentral:lncRNA from 1 species